UAGUACACCACGUCCUUUCACAGUGAAACUACCACCGUUUUGUUUUUUUAUGUAGCAGUCUUUAUUUUUCAAUUUUACAGACCCAGGAUAGUGACAAAGAAGGAUCAAAGAAAGGCGUAGAAAAUUGGGAAGAGAAAAAAAACGAGGACACGGAGAGAGAAAGGGGUAGAGCGAGGAGAGGAAGAUGGAGAGCGUUUUAUUGGAUCAGGCUGUGAGUGUGGAUGAGCUGGUGGAUGCCUGCAUCAAAGCGUUCGAUGAUGAAGGUUCACUAAAUGAUGCCUCUCUGGUGCGGAUGUUCCUCAUGAUGCAUCCCUGGUACCUUUCAUCCAGUGACUUCGCCAAGAAGCUUCUGCACAAAUCUCAGAAUUGCUCUGCCAGUUGUCGCUCUCAGAUUUGUCAUCUUGUCAAGUAUUGGAUAGGCGAGUUCCCGGCUGAAUUUGACCUGAACCCAGAUCUGGCUGAGCAGAUUCGAUGUCUGAAGGAGCUGCUGAAGCAGAAUGGAGAUGUGAGGCGUAGUCUCCUCAUAGACAUUGACAGCAUCCCAUCAUAUGAAUGGAAACGAGAACUGAACGCAAGUGUUCAAAAGAAGAGUAAAACCUCCCUGCUGUUUGACCACCUUGACGCCUCGACCCUGGCUGAGCACCUCACUUACAUGGAGUACAAGUCCUUCUGCAAGAUCCUGUUCCAGGACUACCACAGCUUUGUGAUGCACGGCUGCACUGUAGAUAACCCGAUUCUGGAGCGUUUUAUCACCCUCUUCAACAGGGUGUCCCAGUGGAUCCAGAUGAUGGUGCUGAGUAAACCAACAGCUCAGCAAAGAGCCAACGUCAUCACUGACUUCAUUACAGUGGGACAGAGAUUGCUGGAGCUGCAGAACUUUAAUACACUCAUGGCGGUGGUUGGAGGUUUGAGUAACAGUUCCAUCUCCAGACUUAAAGACACUCAGGCUCUUCUAAGCAACGAAUCCCGAAAGCUGUUUGAAGGGCUGGUGGAGCUGAUCACAUCGAGCGGGAACUACAGCCGCUACCGACAGCGCUUCUCAGAGAGCGCUGGCUUCCGUUUCCCCAUCCUGGGCGUGCACCUGAAGGACCUGAUCGCCGUCCACGUUGCUCAUUCUGACUGGGCUGACCCGGAGAAAACGCAGGUCAACCUAACAAAGACUAAGCAGCUGUAUGCGAUCCUGCAGGAGCUAGCAGUGAUCCAGAGCACUCCUCCUGACAUUCAUGCCAACCCGGACCUCCUCAGCCUGCUCAUUGUGUCUCUGGACCAGUACCACACAGAGGAGGAAAUCUAUCAGCUGUCUCUGCAGAGAGAACCUCGCAGCCUAAAAUUAUCAGUGUCCGGUUCAAACCCUCAGUCUCCACAAAUAGAGCAGUGGGCAUCUUCGGUCCAAUCCAAACCUGAUCCAGUCAUCCUCAACAAACACAUUGAAAAGAUGGUGGAGUCUGUAUUUAAAAAUUUUGACACGGACAGUGAUGGCUACAUUACCCAAAAAGAGUUCGAGAGCAUCAGGAACAACUUCCCCUACCUCAGCAAGCUUGAUGACCUGGACCAGCACCAGAAUGGCAGAAUUAGCAAAGUCCAGAUGAUUGAAUAUUUCGGUAAAGCCAGCUCCACGCUGAACUGUAAAAUGGGCUUUGUGCACACAUUUACACCAAGGAAUUGCAUCAAACCCACAGUCUGCCAACACUGCUCAGGCAUUAUGUGGGCAUUUACCAAACGAUACAAAUGCCAAGCUCUGUCUCUCUCUGGCUGCCAGUGUGUGGUGUUAGCUGUCAUAAAGACUGCCGCAGUCGUUUGGCUGUUGAGUGUCGCAAACGGGCUAAAAGUGUCAGUUUUGACAGUCCCAUUCCACAGAUCAGCCGCUCGCUCAGCUUUCCCCCACCUACUGGAAAAAAUACUGAGCCUGAGUGCACAGAUAUUAUAGAGGAGAGUCAAGAGAAUGUAGAGCCGGAAGUGUUGGAUGAUCACCUUUGAUGAGGGUUUCUGGGUAACACAAAACCCACUGUGACUGCCCAGGGUGAAGUGAUUAAAUGAGCGAAGUUAAAGUGAGCAGGUGGAGGUGAAAAUGUGUUACCUUAAAUAACAGUAGAUUGGUUUGACCAGUCGACUCCAAGCGUUGCCUGGUGGAAAAAGACCCCUGCUAAUACAAGGAACACAUUAUGCCUUUAAAGCUGUGGACCAUCUGUACCCAGUGAAGGAUUCUCAGCAAUUCCCAGAUCUGUGGUUUUGAUUCAGAUAUGAUACAGACUUUUCACAUUUCCAAAAAUAUUACCUCAGGUCUAAAAAUCCACCACCUACCACAUCAUGCUAAAGAACACACUUCAGAAAGUGAGAUAUCAGAACUGCAAUUUACUUUUGUGGUGUUAUGCACUUCAUCACACAUGCAAGCACCUCAAGCAGACAGUUGCUGUUGUGGGGGCAAGGAGUUGAAUACCCACUCAGGCUUUUUUCCAUCUACUUGUGUUUAUUGGGCACCUGAUUAGGCCAGUAGCACUGCUGGUGGGCUAACUUAUUAAACUGUUGUACUAAAUGAGUGCCUGUUAAUGCAGUGCCUGUGUUUUUGACAGAUGGCAACAUGAAGGCAGCCCAACACCACUGAGUUUUAUUUAAGAAUAAAGCUGUAU